CCAGGCUGUGUCCUUUAUAUUGACUAUCUCUGAUCUGUUCAGCACAGUGGGGACAAUCCCUACAGUCCCUGCUGGGGAGAAGAGUGCAGGCUACUAAGAAGGGACAGAAACAUGAUAUAUACAGAUACUCAAGGAAUACAUUCUGCAGCCAGAUCACCUAUGGGAAGAGGACAAUGAGAAGGGCCCAGGAUAUCGUGUGUCAUCUCCACACCUCCCUCGCCUGAAGUGCUGGGGUUGCUAAGUUGCUCUCUAUCUGUCUUUGGGGAGGAGCUGAAGGCCACCUCCCAGUCCUGCUGCCUGCCCGACCCCCUUACCUCGGAGUUCUGGCCGCUCUUGUACAGUUCCGGCAA